rnacentral:rRNA from 1 species
AUGGAGAGCCCGGGCGGUGGCGCCGAUGCGCGCGCGCGCUCGAGGCAGUACGACUACGGCGCCAACUCCAACCUCGUCGUCAACACCGGCUCGCGCCCCCGCGACGCGCAUCACGAGCCCACCGGCGAGCCGCAGACCCUCAGCGGCAGGAUCCGCGCGAGGAGCUUCGGCGACCGCGCCGUCCGGACCAGGCCUCCCGGGCUAGAGGAGAAGCGAGGCGAGUCCCGCGGGAAGAAGGCCCGGGAUGCGGCCUCCGCCGACCUCCCCCACCGCGACGCCAAGCGCGUGCGCCGCGGCUCCGUGCGGCCCGAGGACAACGUGCUCUCGCUCGCGCACGACGCCCUCUACAAGCCCCGGACCAGGGAGACGCGCACCGCCUACGAGGCGCUGCUCAGCGUCAUCCAGCGGCAGCUCGGCGGGCAGCCCCUCGACGUGCUUGGCGAUGCCGCGGACGAGGUGCUUGCCGCUCUCAAGGACGACAGGAUCAGGAACCCUGACAAGAAGAAGGUAAUAGAGAAGCUCAUCAACCCUGUCUCGGGUCAGAUGUUCCACCAGCUCGUCUCCAUUGGGAAGCUCAUCACGGAUUUCCAUGAUUCUGCCGGUGUGCCUUCUGGUGAUGGCACAGACAUGCCAUUCGAUGAUGAUAUUGGCAUUACUGUUGAGUUCGAAGAGGAUGAGGAUGAUAAGGAGCAUAACCUUUAUCAGGUGCAAGAUGAGCUGGAUGGUGAGAAUGAAGAUGACCUUGUCGAGUUGAACGUUCCUGGAACUAUGCAAACGGGUGGUGAGUUGUAUGACGAUGAUCUGCAGAGCUGCAACAAGGAUCUGACUUUAGACGUGCAAGACAUUGAUGCUUACUGGCUUCAGAGGAAGAUAUCACAAGCAUAUGAAGAUAUCGACCCCCAGCACAGCCAGAAGCUUGCCGAGGAGAUCUUGAAGGUGAUCGCUGAGGGUGACGACAGAGAUGUUGAGAAUCGGCUUGUCACGCUGCUGGACUACAAGAAUUUUGAUCUCAUUAAAUUGCUGCUUCACAACCGACUCAAGAUAGUUUGGUGUACCUUCUUAGCCAGGGCUGAAGAUCAGGAACAGCGGAAGAAGAUAGCAGAAGAGAUGAUGAGUAACCCAAGAUUAGCUCCAAUUUUGGAGCAGCUACAUGCAACGAGAGCAUCUGCAAAGGAGAGGCAGAAGAAUCUGGAGAGAAGUAUCAGGGAUGAGGCUAAGAGGCUCCUAAAAAAUAACAGCGCUGGGACUGAUGGUGCGAGGGAUAGUAAGGCAGUUGAUAUCAAAAGUGGAUGGUUCAAAGGCCAGAGGCAGCUGCUUGAUCUUGAUAACCUUUCUUUCCACCAAGGUAGUCUCUUGAUGUCCAACAAAAAAUGUGAACUUCCUCCAGGAUCAUUUAGAACCCCUCAGAGGGGUUACGAGGAAGUCCAUGUGCCAGCCUUGCGACCUAUGCCAUAUGAAUCUGCAGAGAAGAUUGUGAAGAUAUCUGAUAUGCCAGAGUGGGCCCGACCAGCUUUUGCUGGGAUGACUCAACUUAAUAGAGUUCAGAGCAAGGUUUAUGAUACUGCCCUUUACAAACCAGAUAACAUCCUUCUCUGUGCUCCAACGGGUGCUGGGAAAACCAAUGUGGCCGUGCUUACAAUUCUUCAGCAGAUUGGUUUGCAUAUGAAGGAUGGUGAAUUUGAUAAUACAAAGUACAAAAUUGUCUAUGUGGCCCCAAUGAAAGCUUUGGUUGCUGAAGUUGUUGGAAAUUUGUCAGCGCGGCUGAAAGAGUACAAUGUCACUGUUAGUGAGCUUAGUGGAGAUCAGAACCUGACCAAACAACAGAUUGAUGAGACACAGAUAAUUGUCACUACACCUGAGAAAUGGGAUAUUGUCACAAGGAAAUCAGGUGAUAGAAUCUAUACUCAACUGGUAAAGCUUCUAAUCAUUGAUGAGAUCCAUCUACUCCAUGAUAACAGAGGGCCUGUGCUGGAGAGUAUUGUUUCUAGAACAGUACGGCAGAUUGAAAUGACCAGGGAACAUAUCCGCCUAGUUGGCCUCUCUGCAACUCUCCCAAAUUAUGAAGAUAUUGCGGUAUUCUUGCGUGUUUGCUCAGGCGGUCUCUUCCAUUUUGAUAACAGUUACCGACCUUGCCCUCUAGCUCAACAGUACAUCGGAAUCACAGCGAGGAAGCCACUGCAGAGGUUUCAGUUGAUGAAUGAGAUUUGUUAUGAGAAGGUUAUGGCUGCUGCUGGUAAGCACCAAGUGCUUAUAUUUGUGCACUCAAGGAAGGAGACAGCGCAAACUGCUCGUGCCAUCAGAGACACUGCAUUGGCUAAUGACGUGUUGGCUCGCUUUCUGAAGGAUGACAGUGCAAGUCAAGAGAUCCUUUGUGCUCAUGCAGAACUUGUCAAAAGUAGUGACCUUAAAGACCUUUUGCCAUAUGGGUUUGCUAUUCAUCAUGCUGGGUUGGCAAGGGUAGACCGUGAACUUGUUGAGAAACUUUUUGUUGAUAAGCAUAUACAGGUCCUUAUUUCGACAGCCACCCUUGCAUGGGGUGUCAAUCUACCUGCACACACUGUUAUUAUAAAGGGUACCCAGAUUUACAAUUCAGAAAAGGGCGCUUGGACAGAACUAAGUCCGCUGGAUGUCAUGCAGAUGCUUGGUCGUGCAGGCAGGCCUCAGUAUGACACACAUGGAGAGGGUAUAAUCUUAACAAGCCACAGUGAAUUGCAAUACUACCUGUCUCUUAUGAAUCAACAGCUGCCUAUUGAGAGUCAGUUUAUAUCCAAACUGGCCGAUCAGUUAAAUGCAGAGAUUGUUCUUGGAACUAUUCAGAAUGCCCAGGAGGCAUGCUCGUGGCUUGGAUACACUUACCUCUACAUCCGGAUGCUCCGGAAUCCAACAUUGUAUGGCCUACCUGAAGAUAUCAUGGAGAGAGACAGAACACUAGAUGAAAGGAGAGCUGACUUGGUACACUCAGCUGCAAAUCUAUUGGAUAGGAAUAAUUUGAAGUAUGAUAAGAGAACUGGAUACUUUCAGGCUACUGACCUAGGGAGCUAUAUUAGUCACAGGACUAUUUCAACUUACAACGAGUACCUGAAGCCUACGAUGGGUUACAUUGAGCUGUGCCAAUUGUUCUCUCUUAGUGAGGAAUUUAAGUAUGUUAGUGUCAGAAAAGAUGAGAAGAUGGAGCUGGAAAAGAUUUUGGAUCGUGUGCCGAUUCCUGUGAAAGAGAGCUUGGAGGAGCCCAGCACAAAGAUCAAUGUUCUGCUCCAAGCAUAUAUUUCUGGGCUUAAGCUAGAGGGCCUCUCCCUUGGCUCUGAUAUGGUCUAUAUCAAACAGAGUGCUGGUCGCCUCUCAAGAGCAAUAUUUGAGAUAGUUUUGAAGAGAGGAUGGUCUCAACUAGCAGAGAAGGCUCUGAAUCUUUGCACGAUGAUUGAUAAGCAGAUGUGGAGUGUCCAAACUCCUUUGCGCCAGUUUCCUGGCAUUCCAAAUGAAAUCCUGAUGAAACUGGAGAAAAAGGAAUUGGCUUGGGAGAGGUACUUUGACCUAUCAUCACAGGAAAUUGGUGAGCUGAUCCGUUAUCCCAAGAUGGGGAGGCGGUUAUACCAGUGCAUCCACCAGUUACCAAAGUUGAACCUUUCAGCCCAUGUCCAACCAAUUACUCGUACAGUUUUGGGUUUUGAGCUGACUCUUACACCUGAUUUCCAGUGGGAUGAUAAGAUACAUGGAUAUGUUGAACCUUUUUGGAUUCUUGUUGAGGACAAUGACAGCGAGUGCAUUCUUCACCAUGAAUACUUCACGCUUAAGAAACAACGACUGAAUGAAGAUCAUACACUUAAUUUCACAGUGCCAAUAUAUGAGCCAUUGCCCCCUCUGUACUUUAUACACGUCGUAUCUGACAAGUGGCUUGGAUCUCGGACAAUUCUUCCAGUCUCAUUUAGGCACUUGGUUCUUCCAGACAAACAUGCUCCACCAACCGAAUUGCUUGAUCUGCAACCACUACCUGUUACCGCACUGAGGAAUGCACGAUAUGAAGGCCUUUAUAGUGCCUGGAAACAUUUCAACCCCAUCCAGACUCAAGUGUUCAGUGUCUUGUAUAACAGUGAUCAUAGUGUUUUGGUUGCUGCUCCAACAGGCAGCGGGAAGACCAUAUGUGCGGAGUUUGCGAUACUAAGGAACCACCAAAAGGCAGUAUCUGGUGAAACCAACAUGCGAAUUGUGUAUAUAGCGCCUAUUGAAGCUCUGGCGAAAGAAAGAUACAGGGACUGGGAGAUGAAAUUUGGAGAAUUCGCCUGUGUAGUUGAGCUAACUGGUGAAACUGCACGUGAUUUGAAGCUUCUUGAUAAAGGGGAAAUUAUUAUUAGCACUCAUGAGAAGUGGGAUUCACUCUCACGCCGGUGGAAACAGAGGAAACACAUCCAACAGGUCGGUUUAUUCAUUGUCGAUGAGCUUCACCUAAUUGGAUCUGAGAAGGGACAUGUUUUGGAUAUCAUUGUUUCAAGGAUGAGGUGUAUUGCAAAUCAUACCUGCAGCAACAUCCGGAUCGUAGCGCUUUCAGCAUCACUUGCGAAUGCUAAAGAUCUCGGAGAGUGGAUUGGUGCCACCUCUCAUGGCCUUUUCAAUUUCCCUCCAGCAGUGCGGCGGUACCUUUAG